rnacentral:rRNA from 1 species
AAAUUGAAGAGUUUGAUCAUGGCUCAGAUUGAACGCUGGCGGCAGGCCUAACACAUGCAAGUCGAACGGUAACAGGAAGCAGCUUGCUGCUUUCUUGACGAGAGGACGACGGGAGAGGAAUGUCUGGGAAACUGCCCGAUGGAGGGGGAUAACUAAUGGAAACGGUAGCUAA